GGGGUUGCAAUGCUUCGCACCCCGGAGCGGGGACGGGGGGAUGGAAGCGGCAGCCCCGGGCCCGGCCAGGGGCCGCCCGGCGCUGUCCUGCCCGGCCGGCUUCUCCUCGCAGCAGACGGCGCCGCGGCCGUAACUCCGAUAGAUCUCUUCCCUCUCCCUUGGAUGUCAAUUAUUUCUGCAAGAAAUUUCCAAGAGAGCUGUGGCAUCCUCCCUGCUGUAUCCUGUUGGCCACACAGAUUUUGACCCUAUUGAGAUGAAGAGAAAUGUGAAUUACAAGAUGCCUCCAUUUUGAUAGUAGCUGGUGUCUUCAGUGAUAUUCCUCAGUUUACCAAAGUCUGAUUGCAGAGGCUUGUGGUACAGAGGUCAAUACUACAAGAUCCAAAUCACAUCUUGCCAUUAAAGGAAGAGGUCCUGGUGCAGAAGACAGGAUAAAAGUCUUUGAAAUCCUAGGGAACAAAAUAA